CUCUCAGUUUCUUCAUCUGUAAAAUGGGGAUAAUAACAUCCUAGGCUGAUGGCACACGAGCAUAGUCCUGCCAGGUAGGGGAAGGCCCUGUGGGUUGAGCUUCUCCAGGUGCUCCUCUGGCAUGUCUGAGUAGGGAGCUUCCCAGAUGGAGUGCUGCAAUAGGGGGGAGAUGGCGGUUUGGUAGUGAGGGCUCAAGGGGGACCCUAAGCCCAGAGAGCGUAGCAGUGAGGCAAGGAAGUACUGACGAUGCUGCUGGAGAGAGCAGACCACAGCACCUGCCAUCCUUAGGCAAAAGCUGGCCCACAAAAGAUACGGCCAAGAGGUAGAGGAGCCAGAGGAAGGACAGGGUCUCAG